GACGAACGCUGGCGGCGUGCUUAGCACAUGCAAGUCGAACGAAGAGCGAUGGAAGCUUGCUUCUAUCAAUCUUAGUGGCGAACGGGUGAGUAACGCGUAAUCAACCUGCCCUUCAGAGGGGGACAACAGUUGGAAACGACUGCUAAUACCGCAUACGAUCUAACCUCGGCAUCGAGGAAAGAUGAAAGGUGGCCUCUAUGUAUAAGCUAUCACUGAAGGAGGGGAUUGCGUCUGAUUAGCUAGUUGGAGGGGUAACGGCCCACCAAGGCGAUGAUCAGUAGCCGGUCUGAGAGGAUGAACGGCCACAUUGGGACUGAGACACGGCCCAGACUCCUACGGGAGGCAGCAGUGGGGAAUCUUCCGCAAUGGACGAAAGUCUGACGGAGCAACGCCGCGUGAGUGAUGACGGCCUUCGGGUUGUAAAGCUCUGUUAAUCGGGACGAAAGGCCUUCUUGCGAAUAGUGAGAAGGAUUGACGGUACCGGAAUAGAAAGCCACGGCUAACUACGUG
rnacentral:rRNA from 1 species